CGAAAGAGCAGCUAAUACCGCAUACGACCUGAGGGUGAAAGCGGGGGAUCGCAAGACCUCGCGCGAUUGGAGCGGCCGAUAUCAGAUUAGGUAGUUGGUGAGGUAAAGGCUCACCAAGCCGACGAUCUGUAGCUGGUCUGAGAGGACGACCAGCCACACUGGGACUGAGACACGGCCCAGACUCCUACGGGAGGCAGCAGUGGGGAAUUUUGGACAAUGGGUGCAAGCCUGAUCCAGCCAUGCCGCGUGCGGGAAGAAGGCCUUCGGGUUGUAAACCGCUUUUGUCAGGGAAGAAAAGGUUCUGGCUAAUACCUGGGACUCAUGACGGUACCUGAAGAAUAAGCACCGGCUAACUACGUGCCAGCAGCCGCGGUAAUACGUAGGGUGCAAGCGUUAAUCGGAAUUACUGGGCGUAAAGCGUGCGCAGGCGGUUAUGCAAGACAGAGGUGAAAUCCCCGGGCUCAACCUGGGAACUGCCUUUGUGACUGCAUGGCUAGAGUACGGUAGAGGGGGAUGGAAUUCC
rnacentral:rRNA from 1 species